GACGAACGCUGGCGGCGUGCUUAACACAUGCAAGUCGAACGGAAAGGCCCUGCUUUUGUGGGGUGCUCGAGUGGAGAAGGGGUGAGUAACACGUGAGUAACCUGCCCUUGACUUUGGGAUAACUUCAGGAAACUGGGGCUAAUACCGGAUAGGAGCUCCUGCUGCAUGGGGGGGGUUGGAAAGUUUCGGCGGUGGGGGGGGGACUCGCGGCUUAUCAGCUUGGUGGUGGGGUAGUGGCUUACCAAGUCUUUGAGGGGUAGCCGGCCUGAGAGGGUGACCGGCCACAUUGGGACUGAGAGACGGCCCAGACUCCUACGGGAGGCAGCAGUGGUGAAUAUUCCACAAGGGGCGGCCGCCUGAUGCAGCACCGCCGCGUGCGGGAUGACGGCCUUCGUGUUGUACACCGUUGUCCCCUGUGACGAUGCGUGUAUGACGGUAAUGUGUAAAGAAGCCCCCGCUAACCAUG
rnacentral:rRNA from 1 species